rnacentral:lncRNA from 1 species
ACCCUCCUCCUCUAGAAGAGUUACCUGACUUUCUGAAACCCCUUGAACCAUUGACAGGAGAAUAGGUGAAGGCUGAUGCAGUGAUCAAGCUUGCCAUGCCUGUUCACAGUUCACACUCAAUGUGCUUCACUUACUAAACAGCGGAAAUCUGCAAGAAAAUUUUAAGAAAUUCAAAGACCUCCAACUUUAAUGACGAGCAUUGAAUAAAAGUUCUAAAAGAAAUCAACACAUUUGAAUUGCCUCCUCAAUUCCAAUGAGUAAUCCCUUUUACUUUUUAACUGCCAUAUACCAAAAAAAAAACUCACUAUGCCAUAACCUUCUGUACAUUCUGUAGUGCAAAGUGCAGUGAAGCUGCUCAGUCUCUCUAUUACCUUAUGUAAGUUUGUUUGCUGGAUUGUCAAAGUAUCCAACUUCAUUGUAAUUUUAAGAAGCCAAUAAGGCAAUUUCACGUACUGACAUACCACUAUAAUUUUUAGAAGUUGAGUUAAACCUAACUCUACCCCAAAAGUUAGCUUAGAGGUGAGAGUUCCUCUACCAUUUAUAAACACUCAUUUGACCAUAUUUCUAGUCAAUGUGAGAAUUCUCAACACACCCACGCAUGCCAAGGGCUUUCCAAUAAAUGGAUCUAUGAUAAGCUUUGUCAACAUCUUAAAAUUUGAGUUAGGCCUAAAUCCUAACUCUAUCCCAAAAGCUAGCUUACAGGUGAGAGUUGCUCUACCAUUUUUAGACACUUAUUUAGCUAUAUCUCUAGUCAAUGCGAGUCUUCUCAACAAUCAUUCUGAGACUUCUCAACAAUCAUUGGAAGGUAUGACAUGAAUAAAGAAAGGGUUCAUUCAAGGAAAGGGUGAGUCUAACAUAGUGCCUACCUACCACUUUUGCAACCCUAAAACAAUGAAAAGGACCAUAAAAAAAUAGGAAGUAAACAUAAAAAUCACCAAUCUUCCACCUGCAGUUGUUCCAAAUACUAAUCAUUGUCAUCCAUAUCCACCCAAAAAAGGAAGUAUAUAAUACAGUAAGAAAAUCUUCAGAACCCAAGGCACCCCAAAUCAAUUUACAAGAUAACACUACUCAUCUAAUUAGGGUUUGUUCACAAAGACCCAAUUGGUGAAUGCUUGAUAACAGAUAAGUGAUUGAUUCUCAUAUUUAACAUGAUAAGCUCCGAUUUUCUGACUUGACAUGAACACCCACCAAGACUUUAGGAAAAACAAGGAAACAAAUGAUUAAAGUUUGAAACUUUACCUGUUCAAAACAAAUGCAGAAGUGAAGAUUUGAAGAAGCAAUGAGGGUUUAGCUUCGUUCCUACAGCUAAACGAUAAACCCUCUC